GACCCAGCAUGGCGUAGUGGUUUGAGCUUUGGACUAGGACUCUGGAGACCAGGGUUCGAAUCCCAGCUCGGUCA
rnacentral:tRNA from 1 species